GUCUUUUAGAUUAUAAUUUAAAGUCUAACCUGCCCUAUGAAUAAUUAAAUGGCCGCAGUAUUUUGACUGUGCAAAGGUAGCAUAAUAAUUAGUUUUUUAAUUGAAAGCUGGAAUGAAAGGUUGAACGAAAAAAUAUCUGUCUCAAUUUAAAUUUAAUUAAAAUUUUAUUUUUUAGUAAAAAAGCUAAAAUAUUUUUUAAAGACGAGAAGACCCUAUAGAGUUUUAUAUUUAAAAUUAAUAUAUUUUUAGAAUUUUUUUUUGAUUUAUGAUAUUUUAUUGGGGUGAUAAAUAAAUUUGAUUAACUUUAUUUUUUUAUAACAUUAAUUUAUGAUUUGUUGAUCCAUAAAAAUGAUUAAAGAUUAAAUUACCUUAGGGAUAACAGCGUUAUUUUUUUUAAGAGUUCUUAUCGAAAAAAAAGAUUGCGACCUCGAUGUUGGAUUAAAAUUUAUAUAUGGUGUAGAAGCUAUAAAAUUAGGUCUGUUCGACCUUUAAAAUUUUACAUGAUCUGAGUUUAAACCGGUGUGAGCCAGGUUGGUUUCUAUCUUAAAAUUAAUAAAAUAUUUUAGUACGAAAGGACCAAAUAUUUAUAAAAUUUAUUUUAAUUUGAAUAU
rnacentral:rRNA from 1 species